AAAUUUGCAUUUGCAUGCCUUUUAUGGACCCAAAACGUUUUGUCAGGAGAUCGGUCUACCUAUUCUUUUAACAUAUAUGGCUGCUUGCUAAGAAACAGGUCGGUUUGUGAGAUUGUUAUGGAGAUACAUAAAUUAAAGAACCUAUAUCGUAGUAAUUGAUGAAGAUGAUGGAGCAUAUAAUACAACAGGACUUGUUAUGAUCUAAAAGCCUACAAUUGGAAGAAUGGAAUAUAUGGCUGCUUUAUCGAAAUAUCGUGCGAAGAGCCGGCACGAAAUAGCUGUGAGCACGACUCAAGCUGGAACUUUGAGAUACGAUCUGUGUGGUGGUCAUCGCUGUUACGACAAGCUUAUUGGGAACUACCGGGCGCUUCCACAAGUUGCGGUAGUGGAAUGCUCCUUAUGGAGUAGCUGCAACGGCAGUUGCGGACAAUCAACUAUAUCGAGCUCAGAGCCUCAGGGAGGCCGGGCGGCGCCGACUCUUGCAUACACAGUGAGUGCCUAUGAUGAUACGAUAUGACAAGGCGAGUUAUUGACACUUUUAAAUAACCAGGGGCCAUCCUGGCCCUGCGGCGACAGGUCCUCUUGGGAACGGAGUUAGCUCUCCGACAGGAGCUUGAUGAGGUGGCGAGGAGUUGGUGAUAUUCACAUGAAAAUGUGGCUACAACAACAUCAUGCGAAGAGGACAUGUGGUUCUCACUGUCCGAAAUGGUGUAAGAUAUGCCUUUUAUGGGUCCUAAACGUUUAGACGUGAGAUUUAUCCGAAUUGUAGUCCGUCCGUAUGAACAAUAGGUCAAAUACAAUUUCAGCGAAAUCUGGUAAAAAAAAAUUCGCGUUGCGGAAAAUCGGUAUCUAACCUAUUGCGAUCAACAAUGUGCGAAACUACGUUUCGAAGAGUUAGAGACUCAGAAGGUGUAACCUAAAAGGGGUUUGCCGUCUGAUUCAAGUUUAAGCUCAAUCAUAAGGGAACAUGUUUUUACAGCCGAGUCAGAACUGCGUGUCGCGGUGUAACACCUCUUUGGGGAGAAUUUUUUACAUGGCGUAGUACCUCACAAAUUUUGUCAGCAUUAGGAAGGAAAAACCACCGCUGAAAAAAAUUUCUUUCUGAUAUUUUCGCCCGGAUUCCUUAGUUACGAUUUAUCCAAUUUAGGAAUGUCCCGCUGGAAAAGUGUCUCGCUUUUGUCUUCAAGUGUCAUGGCCAAUUUCAUUUGCAUGUGAGGUCUUUGGUCAUGUCAAAGAUGUGUCGCCCAGCGAAUCGUCAUUGGGAAUCAACUAUAAAAAGGAGGUAUCUCUUCAUUAAGGUAAAAGUUGGAACUAAUUGAUAUCAGAGGCAACAUCCAGUUAUUUCAAACAAUUUAACCAAAAUGUUUUGCAAGUUAAUUUUUCAUUCGGCCUACAGACUGAUAAAGUAUCUUCAAAAAUUCAUAUUGUCUGGUAUAGUUUAGGGUUUUAUAAAUUUCGACAAUUUUGUUCAUAAUUUUCCAUAUUAAUUUCACUUUCAAAAUAUUUAAACUUAUGCGCGUAAAUUUUGGUGUGUUAUUACGAUCAGCUGAUCACUCUCUUAACCUUAUUGGGUGUAGCCAUAUAAUCCGUUUUUGAAAGCCUAUUUUAUUUCCCCCCGUAAACAUUUGUGCAUUCUCUUCAUUGGUUUGCAGCUCUCGCAUACAAUAAAAGAAUUGUUUACAAACAAAUUGCAAAUCUUUUUAUAGAAAUAGUAUUCAUUUAAAUAAAUAUAAACAAUGUAGGGCGUGAGUCAUUUUGUAUGAAGUAGAAAAAUACAUUGUACUGCUAGCUAAUUAGUUUUUUUUCCCCAAAAUUCCGUCAUGGCCAAAUUCCUCCAUGGCAACUCUAUAUAGACACACACACACACAUAAACACCAUCUCUUGCAUGUUUGGCAAAAUGAGUGCAUGUGUGUGUUUUAGGUUAGUUGUCAACGCGCAGAGCAACAACGAUCGAUUCAUUCAUCGAUUUUUCGCGCUUGUAAUGAACAAAAAGACGGCAGGCAAAAAGCACACACACAAACGUAUAUAACGCAAGUCUGAAAAAAAAAACUCUCUCAUGAGACGAAAAAAGGGGAGCAAGGAGACAGUAAUAAAACUAAAGAGUUAAAGGCAAAAGAAGUGUGCAAAAUUCAAAGUCAGCUAGCGGUGCUAUUCACGCAAACAGGAUACUAAUGCACAACUCUGCUAAACAAGUGAAACGGCAAUAGAAGAUAAUGACGAUACGACGGUGUGGACGACGUGAUGUCCAAAACCACAUUUUUGAAAAAUUUUUCACAGCGAUAAAAUCCAUUUGCGAUAUAUGUAAUUUCUAUUACCUCCUACAUCAUGAUUCCAAAGAAAAUUCUAUAUUUAGCAAAUAUAUCCCAAGAAAAAUAAAUUACACUCCACAAAAAUAUAUGAAGACACCACCCUAAAAUAAACAUAACCCCCACCCCCGUUAUCAUCGUCGUUGCCCCUCGUCGACGAAGGCGUAAUCGUCAUACUAUAUACAUUUAUGGAAAUUUUCUGUAUACUCUCUGAUUUUUGUUUUUAACCAAAAGAAAAUUUUUCCUAAAUGAUGCCCAUUUUUACAGGAAUUUAUCAACAAAGAUCAGGAAGAACAAGAGCGCCAUCAUAGAUGUAUCGCGGUAUGCAAAAACACGCCAAAAAAUUAUGCCGGCAAAAAACAAGUUUUUUUUUGUUGUAUUAAUACCGUCGUCGUUGCGAAUUUCUACGAAAAUUUAAUCAUCAUCGUCUCUUCAUAUGUGUGAUUUUUUGGAUUUUAUUACUCACCAUCGUAGCGUUCUGCUUGUUCGGCCAAUUUAGCCUUGUAUACAUUAUUUUCCCGUUCAGACAUUGUGCAAAAAAAUUAUUUGAGUUGUGUGUGUGUGUGUAUGGAA
rnacentral:sRNA from 1 species